UCAGCAGCUUAUAACAGUUUCCAUCUCCAGGCCACACCCCAGUAACUCCAGCGGGCAGCUAACAGUAAGAAUCACUAGAGCAACAGUUCUCAGCCCUAAACAUAGAUUAGAAUCACCUGGGAAGAUUUAAAAGCCCCGUGACACAUGGGCCCACCACCAAGGACUGGAGUUUAGUUGAUCCGGGGUGGGGUCUGGACAGCAGUAUUUUUAAAGAGCUUGUCAAGUGAUUGAUUCUUUAAUACAGCAAGGAUUCAGUAUGUCUGCUGUAGAACUUAGAUUUAUAAAAUGCUUUCCACUGAUCUUUCCUAACAAGUGCUUGAGAUAGAUAUUAUCACCCCCACUUUGUGUGUGAAAACAUGGAGACUUAGAAAACAUUAUUUGCUUGAUGCAGCAAUUGGUACCUCACAAAGCAAGCUCACGUUCUGAAGCCCUUGGUUACCGUGCCAGAGUUGCUAUGUAUUAACUGAAAAAAACUUUUUGCAAGUUGAAUCAUAUUUCAAUUACACCAGGAUUCUUUAUGAUCAUCCCCCCGCCCAGUUUUUUUUUUUUUUUCUUAAGGGAAAGAUCUCUUUUAAAAGCGAAUGAUUUGCCCUAAAUUUAAUUUAUGAAUCUAAAUAAUUGCAUAUUUGGUUUGCUUUAUCUAUAAAACCAUCUCAAAUACCGGUGGUGAGCCUUGUUGGUUCUGAUUAAUUCAGGAAAGGGAGGAAAGUGUGGACAAGAGUUGGGUAGUCCGACUCUAAAACCUAUUUCUGUUUUCUGUUCAUUGUAGGAAGAAAUGGUAAAGGUGGACAGCUUUGUAGAUUUAGAAGAUAUAGAUUUUUUGGUGAUAUGAACUGAGACUUCCAACAUAGGUGGUAGCUGCAUCCUUUCAGGAUUUGUCUGGGUAUAUGAGAAUGUGGACAGUGAGGGAAAUGAGGAGUAUCUUCCCUUCAUGUCCAGGAAGUAUUUAUAAUUUUAUUGAUUAAAAAGUACAGUAACACACUUGUGGCUACCUAGAAAAAAGAUUAAUACAAUGAUAAUCUUCAAGUAGUGAAACAAAAUAGUUCCUUUUCUAAAGGGUUAAGUUCUUGGUAUGCCUUACUGUAGGAAAAUUCAUGAAUAAGGAUCGUGAAAUCUUAUGAGGUAAUAGUCUUGGAACAGCUAUAGUUCCCAGUGAUUUCAUAAAAAUCCUUAUGAGUAUUUUACAUUCACCAAAAUAAACCAGUAUAGACAAUAUGUUAAAAUAGACAUUACAGUGUCUAUUUCCUAACCUAGCAAUAAUAGAUCUGUACAGUUACUUUCAACCCCUUUCCUGCUAGAAAAUGUUAGCUGCUCCCAUUCUGAAAGUUUUAUAAAAUGCUUAUAAAAUCAGGUUGCUAUGCUGCCAUAGGAAGAGCCCUUUCCCCGAGGGCUGACUCUCCAUCCAAUUGCCUUUCUUAUUUUCUGAGGAAAGGGUUGAUGAUCUCUGCUUUUCAGUUUCUGUUAUUGUCCUGGAAGUUUGGAGUAACUUCGAUGUGAGAGCUAUUCUGGGGAACUUGUAUUUGAGCUGCUUUCUAUAGCUGUACGUGUGGUAUGUCUUCAGUCCCCUUUCCAGGACACAGGCUGGUUACUCAGCCUCAUUUGUGCCUGUGAGAAUGCCAUCAACGGCAUGUCUCAGCAGCCACCUUAAGCGGGAGCAUUGCUCUUAGUCAAAGAUGUGAUUAUUUCAGCUUCCUUUAUCUCUCCCCAGACUUUCUUGCUCUUUUAUACCUUUAUUUCUCUUUCAAUUUCUUUUUUAAAACUCCCCUCUAUUAAACAAUAGAUAUCGACAUGUUUUCUAUCCUUCAAAUCUUUUUUGUUUAUUUGGUUUUCCAGCUUAUAUACUUUUUCCAAUUAAAAUUUUUGUUGAGACAAGGUCUGGCCAUGUUGCCCAGGCUGGUCUUGAACUCCUGGCCUCAAGCAAUCCUCCCACUUCUGCCUCCCAAGUAGCUGGGAUUACAGGCAUGAGCCACAGCACCCAGUCUCUUGCAAUUUCUAAGCACUCACUUUUCCUCCUUUUUCAGCUAUCCCCAAUGCAAGGCAUUUCCUGAAUAUCAGAAACCAAAUUAAAGAGAGCAGUGCUGUCCAAUGGAAAUACAGCCACAAAUAUAAUUUUAAAUUUUCUGGUAGAUGCAUUUAAAAAUUAAAAAAAACCAGAUGAAAUUAAUCUCACCAAUACAUUUAAAUCCUAUCAUUUCAAAAUGUAAUUGAUAUAAAAAUGUUUUCUAUGUAAGUCUUUGAAAUUCAGUAUGUAUUUUAUACUUUUAGGUGUUCAGUACUGUCACAUGAGCUAGUGGCUACUGUAUUGGACAACAUAAUUCUAGAGAUUUUAGAUAAGAAGAUAGAUAUGAAAGGAGAUCUAGGCACUUGAGAAUUAUGUAGAAGAGAAAUGUAUAGUUCAGUAAGAAUUACUGUAGCACAAUUGUAGGUCUACUUUAAUAGUAAUCUUUUAAAUUUGCAGACCAAAUAUAAAUCUCCUUAAAGGUCCUAAUUAAAAAAAAUUAUUUUGUAGAGUGAUCCUUUCUUCCCUUUCUAUUGCUUUUCCCCAGACAAAACUAUGUGUGGAUAUCUACUAUAAAACAUGGUGCAUGGAAAAUUGGAGUGCCGAAUGCUUCCAGAUUGAGAGAACAUGACCGUUAACAAGAUCAACCUUGCUGGGAAAUGAACAAGCGACCAGGGUUCCUGUGUGAAGAAUGUGACUCUGGACAAGACAGCUCUGUAGUUGAGACAGACCCUGAAGGAACUGGAGGCUACCUGCUGACUACUCUUCCCAGCAGCUGAGAAGUGAGUCCUUUUUUGGAGUGGGAUCUUGGUGACAAAUCUCCAUGUCUAUCAAAAAAGUAAGUAAUGAUAAUACCUACCUCAUGGGGUUGUGACGAGGAGUAAAUGAGCUAUUAUUUGGAAGAGUUCUUAGAAGAGCGUUUGCUGCUAUCAUUGUGUGUGCAUAUGUGCAUGCAAGCGAAUGUAUGUAAUGCUUCUGUUCCAUCGCCAGAAUCUUGGAGAAUGACUUCUAGAAUGUAGUGAACUAAAGCGAAUGUUUCCACAUCUUGUUUGCUCUCCUUCUCUGCUAUUGCAAAUUCUGCUGAUAGAAGGCUCAUGGGUUAUUUUAUGCGUUACUUUGUUAGGCAACUCAGGCGGUCUUGACUUCUUUGUCUUCUGGACAUGAUGAGUGUUACAAAUCUUUUAAAUAACCCUGGGCAGUCAUGAUAUAAACCUUGGCCUGUUUUUCCUACUAGAUGAUAAAAUGUGAAGAGUAGGAGCCAAGCAGAACUAACGAAGGAUGUGAUCUAGGUUGGGGCUCCAAGGGAAGAUUGAACAAAUUGUAAAAGGAAGCAAACACACUUCUGUGCAUUGAAUCCUCAAUUGAGACUCUGGGAGAGCAGGCGGCUCUGUAGGGCUGACUUCAAUCAAGAAGCUUGGUGUUUAGGGUACACAGAAAGCCCAGCCUAGCUCUCUAGAUUGACUGGCUUCUGAAAUUCCAGACUCUGGUUUGCGUUCUACCUGGGCUGUCUCAAAUGCUGUAGGCUCAAGGAGCAAAGAACUUCACGCUUUGAAACUGUCUGAGGUUACUUUUCAGAUUGAAUUGGGUAACAAAGGGCUUGCUCUUGUUGACAAAGAACAGAGAUGUUUGUUUCUUGGGGCAUGGUGAUUGGUACUAGGGUAUAUUCUUUUAAAGAGUGAAGCUAUGAGUAAAGGUUUUGAUUUUGGAGGAGUUCACAGUCUAAAGAAAGCAGAGCACAAGCUGAGAAAAAUGUGUGCAUGAAAAUAUGAACUUACAUGUUAACGUUGAGAGAAUGAGGUCUACCUUGUGGCUAGGUGAGUUCUGAAGGUGUUUUUGUGGGGAGACUCUGAAGAGAGGAGUCUGGGAAGACUCUGAGUAAAGUAAACGUUUUGAAGAAUGUUUUGAGGAGGGAAAGAGAUCAUGACUUGUUGAGAAAGAAGACCCUGUUAGGAAUACAUGUUUGUGAAUUCCUUACACAGUUGAACCUUGAACACCACCAGUGUUAAGGGUACUGACCCCCACACACAGUAAAAAAUUCUUGUAUAACUUUUGACUCCCUCAGAACUGAACUGCUAAUAGUUUACUGUAGACCAGAAGCCUUACUAAUAACAUAAACAGUGAAUUAACACAUAUUUAGUAUGUUAUAUGUAUUAUGUAUUGUAUCCUUACAAUAAAGUAAGCUGAAGAAAGGAAAAUGUUAUGAAAAUCAUAAGAAGGGAACAUGUAUUUACUAUUCACUAAGGGAGAGAGAGUCAUUAUAAAUUUCUUUAUGCUCCUCAUUUAUGUUGAGUAGACAGAGGAGCAGGAGAACUUUUUAUUUUUAUUUUGCACUCUGUAUGUCUUAGGGGAGGCAGAGGUAGGGAGAUGCAGGAGGUGGGAGGGGAGACAAGAGAGGCAGACACACUCGAUAAACUUUUAUUGAAAAAUAUCCAUGUGUAAGUGGACCUGUGCAAUUAAAACUUGUGUUGUGAAAGGGUCAGCUCUAUGCAGAAAUCAUGUAUCUGUCACUUUGGUAUCCCUAGAACUUUGCAUAGCAUCUGGCAUAUGGUAGAUCUCAAAAAUUGUAGGUUGAGCUGAGGGCAACCAUUCAGGCUACUGUGUAGGAGAUGGGUUGGAGUAGAGAGGGACAAAGUCGAAGAGAAAUGUGACCAUGAGCCGGGGAUAAGAGGUCUAGAGAGGGCAUGGCCAGGACACCAGGAAUGACAAAGGAAGUCUAAGACAUGUGUGGAUCUGUGUUUCUUCAUCAGGGUCUAUUGACGUGUUCUCAAGGCCCAGGAAGUGCUCCCUAAGAUUUUGAAAAGGCUGCCUUUUUGAUCAUCUGAAUAACCAUAUGGUAACUAUUCCUGCUGUAUGAUUUAGAUGCUGUAUUUUCUUUGUAUUUGUAGUUGAGGAUUGGCACCACGUAAUUGCCAAAAUGACAGCAUUUCACUUUUAAUAUGCUGUUAGGCACUCCUGGUUGCUGUUGGGUUGGUUGCUCCUAAAGUCGACAUCACAGUAACCAUUUUUUGGCGGCCGCUGUUCAGUGGAAGACUGUUUAUCCUGGAGUCUAAACACUAGCAAUGCUCAAGAACAAAAUUGUUUUAAAUGACUUUAAAAUGUACACAUAUUUAUUCUCUUUAUGUAACAAUGAUGAGCCCUGGUGUUUGCUCUCAUGGAUGCCUGGGAAUUCAGGGGUCCAGGCAGCAUGGGGCAUCAGGAAGGUGUGAAUGACCAUAAAUGGUCACUAUAGAAUGAUAGCAGUUCCCCUGCAACCCCUUGUCUCUGUCUUUCUGUCUUUUUCUUAUAAGAUUGAGUUGUGGUGUUUCUGGGAUAUUUAUUAUUUUGGCAGGUAACAGCUAAGCAAAAGUGCUAAAACGUUAAGUUGAAAUUUGGCAAAUAUAUUUUGCGUAUCCCAUUGUUUCAUCUGAAUACUGAAAAGAAAAAAUAAGGUGAUGAGUAUAUGAAAUAUUGGGGUGUGGAGCAGUGUCUUCCAUCCUUGUAUGCUUUUGGAAUUAAGGCUCUUGAAAUAUAGGGAAUCUUGAUAGAGCGAUAAACCAGGACAUGCAAAAAAAAAAAAAAAAGACAAAAGUGUGCAUGUCAAAUUUUAAAAAUCAGUUUCAAAGACAAUUUCUCCUUUGCCGUGAAAUUUGCUCUCAGAAGAAACUUUCAUAGAACAAGAUUUUGGUUCCUUGAUUGUUUGACACAUGGACUUGCUGAUUUGGUUUGCAAGAAAAUGGAAUGGUGUGUCAGAGCAAUCUAUUGUUAAAUUGUUGAAGACUAAUGAGAAAAGAAAAGGGUGGGUUUAAUAUAUAAAUGAUGGGAUUGUACUACAUAAUCGUAUAGUUCAUCAUAUGGAGGAAAUAUUUGCAGUUACUGGAAUACAGAGAAAAGGUUGUAAAAUUGGGUUAUCGUGUGGUAAACAGUGGCAUAGAUAUGCUGAACUCAAGUGUCAUUGCCUAGUAGCAGUAAGUUUCAUAGAGUCCAUUGUGAAUUGUGUUUGAUUUGGGUGUGUUAAUAAUAUAUAAUUCUUUCAGAGUUACCAAUAUACUGAAAUGUGUAAGUUUAAUCCAUGAGGCCAGCUACUUUUGUCUGUUUUAUCACUGUAUCUCCAGCACUUUCAACAGUAUCUAGUACAUAAUAGAUACUCAGUAAAAACCUUUUGGAAUGAAUACAUUUAAAUUUUAUUGGUUUUAUGCUUUCAUUGUGUUUAGUUCUUGGAUUUGUUUUUGUUUUAUGAUUGUGUAAGAACUUUAUGCUUAAGAACUUUAAACCUAGUUCUUUGUUGUGCAUGUUGAAAUGAAAUUAAGAUAGUUAAAUUCAACCAGAGUCUGUGAAAGUGUUUAUUUUUAUUGGUGUCUAUAUUUUGCUUUAGUUUGUCAAGCACUGCAAUGGAGCAGGAGUAAUCAUAUUACAGACUCUGUUUUGUGUGUGUUAGAGGACAAGCGAAGUAGAAAAUGAACAAAGAAAAGAGAAAAGGAGAAAGCUUAGACAUGAAGCCAAGACUAUGAACCUCAGGAGUUUCCAGGGACUGAUGCCAUUGCUUCUAUAGUGGGUUAAAUAUUUCCCCCGGAACCCUGAAAAAAGAAUGUGAAACCAGAAUUGUGAAGGUGACCUUAUUUGGAGUAAGAGUUUUUGCCAUUGUGAUGAAGGCAAGGAUCUAGAGAUCAAAUCAUCCUGGCUCAGGAAGGGACCUAAAUUCAAUGAUGGGUGUCCUCCUAAAAGAAAAGAAAGAGACACACAGAGACAUAGCGGGGAAGGCCAUGAGAGGAAGAAAGCAGAGUUUGGAGUGAUGCACUUACAAGCUAAGAAGUGCCGAGAACUGUGGGCAGCCACCCACAGUGUGGGAGAGGUGGGGAGCAGGUCCUCCCUCAAGCUUCCAGGAAGAAAGCAACCCUGCAGAUGCUUUCCCUGCAGACUUCUGGCCUCUGUAACUGUAAGGGCAUACAUUUCUAUGGUUCUAAGCUACCACACUGGUGGUAGUUACUGCCCUAGGAAGUGAAUGCAGCAGUGGAAUAUUGAGAUAAAUAGAACCCAUCUUUAGAACUGAUGAAACACUAAUAUGCUUGCUUAUUAAUAGAGAUCUAAUUUUCUUACAGAAGUUUUUGAAAGUAAUAUGUCUCCUAAGUGGAUUCACAUUUGAGAAACUCUGCAUAAAGCCCUUUAACAACCACCCAACUCCCACAAAGCAGAUUUCUGACAUGAAGGAUGUUCUUUCUUUGUCCAGAGCCUCAGUUGCGGCCAUCCACCCCACCUCUCCUCCACUGAGCACGCAUUGGCUUGAGUGGGCUCACGUACUCUAGUCAAGGCUCCUCUUUCGUCGUUCCUCUCCUCUGAGGUAAAGAAAGAGCAAAAUGAGGUGACUGGUUUGCUAAAGGAACUAUUCCAUAUGAUUAUUGCUAACAUCCAAAGUCAAAGCCAGAUACAGUCCCAUGAGUCAUUCUUGACUAACAUUAUAAUCUGUCCAUGGGCUUAAUAAUUGUCACCUUUCCAUGUGUUGCCUUACAAUUAUUAAUCUCUUUCUGCAUGAGAGGAGUACUUUUCAAUGCGGCUGUCCAGAAGUUAAGAGUGGAAAAGAGUAUAUUUUCUCAUUAUAGAUAGUUUUAAAACUCAAUUUAAAAAUAUUUCCAAAUGUGCACUGACUAUAUAAAAUAUCAAAUAAUCAUUGAAUCAGUGCCACAUCCAUGAAGAUUUUUUUUCCUGGAAGGAAGAUACAUAAAUUAGAUCAGCAUGGGUCCUACAAUUUUUUUUUGAGAAACCUGUACAUUCCUUUCCUGUCAUAAUAGCCAGAAAAGGCACUUUAUAUUCCACAUCCCAAAUAGAGCCUUGGGUUUAGAAAUGCUAGUGUUUUCAUCUGCUUAAAUCAGAGAGGCCUCUGAAGGGUGGGGAAGAGGUAUUAUUUUUUAUUUCAACCAUUUUAAAGAAUUAACUUUCCAGAAGAACUUUUGUUUCUGUAAUAAACUUAAUUAGAUCUACUUAUUCAUUUGGGAAAAAAAAAAAAGAAAGAAAAAAAUACUUGGAAGAGCCAAGAAUCUGUCAGCUCCAUAAGCUCUGGUGUUGAACUCUUACAAAAUUUUUGCAGUGGGAGCAAGUCUUACAAGGAAGCAAACUGGGGUGACAAGAUCUGGGCCUGACUCUGUUGGUAGUGUGCUCUGCAAUCAGGGAAGAAAGGUUUCAUCUCUCAAUUUAUUUUCUCAGUUAGGAUAUUUCCCAAAGUGAAACUGCCUUCUCCCCUAACCCAAAGGAAUGGGAACUGUCUUGCAGUGCGGCAGCCCGCAGGGGAGGAGAAGCUUGAGAGAUGCUAUGCCUGUGUUCCCAAAGCUGGAUGUAAAGGAACUUGAAACGUUGAAUGGGGUUUUCAAUGAAUUGGCAAGCUUGGUAUUGAGGCGUCUUCUGUGUUUAAUCUGUGGAUGAAAUGACUACCUUUUGUAUUAUGUUUUCACGCAUAGUAAAGCCCCUGGAUCAGGAGGCCGAGGAGGCAGGCUUCAUAGUAGAGAGAGAGUUCCACGUGGGCUCAAAUCCUACCUCUCUCCUCUCCUAGCUGUGUGACCUUAGAAAAAAGACUUAUGUCACCUAACUAUUCUUUUAGUUGUGAAAUGAGCAUAGAUGUGGAGAAUUCAGAGAGUCUGAAUUCAUAGAUGCUGGGGGAUGAAACACGUUAGUGUGGCCUGAUGCCCAGCAUGGUGCCUGGCCCCGGGCUGGUCCUUUCCGUGAAAGCACAACAACAAGUUCUCACUCUCCAUUCUCUCACCAAGUGAGCAUCCCCAGCCCCUCACUUAGCAAUGCCUUAUCUGCUGGCAUGCUUAAAUAUUACCUCAUUUCUAAACUUAGUUAAGAUUUGGUUUGGCUGUGGAUAAUAGAGGCCCCAAAUAUCAGCAGCUUAAACUAGAUAGGAAUUCAUUUCUCUGUAGCAGAAGUUUGCAGUAGACAGUACUGCUGAUCAUUCUGCUCAUGAGUCCUGGGGGACCUAGGCAAGAGCUCUUUUUUUCUCCCUCAUGCAAGCCUCUCAUCUCACUUCCCAUCUUCAGUAAAACAAUAGAAGAGAAUAUGGCCAAUAGACACAGGCAGUCAGAUCUGAGAACAAUGAAGAGUAAGACUGAGUUUUGAUAUUUUUUGAGUUCUUUGUAGUCCUUGAGGCCAACUCCACCCCAAUAUCUCAGUUUUAUAUCUCCAAUAAGUCUGUGUUUUGUUUCAAUGUGAGUUGAGUUUCUGUCAUUGCAGCUGAUAGACUCAUGACAAAUGUAUGCCUCUAACUCAAAACUCAUAGGAAGCACUGCUCAUGGUCCUGGCUGUGAGUCUGGGGUAAGUUAAAGUUCUUUGGUUUUAAAACUAGUAUUUUUUUAAAAAAACUAAAAAAUCGUAUCAUCUGUAAAUGUGCUAAGCAAAUUUAUCAUUUUAAAAUGUAAGCUUAGCCAAGAAUGUAGGAGCAUGCAACAUGGCGCCAAGGUGCUUUAGUGCAAAUCUGGGUCCUUUUACUUAACUAGAGGAUGAUUCUGGCAAGCCACGUGAUCUGUCAGUGUCUCAGAGAGAUGCUAACCAAUCUACCUCGUAGGAUUGUUCUGAGGAUUAAAGGAAUUAAUAUUGGUACAAGUUAAAAUAGUGUUUGGAUCAUAUUAGCUAUAAUACUUUAUAAGAUACUUCUAUAAAUUGCUAAGAUCUGUUUUGGGGGCUCUCAAGUGCAGGCAGAGGUAUAUAUUAAUUUCAAUCUUCUGUUCAUGGAAAAAUUAAUAACCAUUAAUUAGUUGCUUUAUAAAAACUUUAUUGGUGAUUUAAAAAUAUUUUAAGUAACUACUCUAGAAUUUACCAACUUAAUAUUGCCAGAUUUUAAUAUAUGGGGAUUGCUUCAUACAAGAUAAAUCUACACACUUAGAAUUAAAAUAUGGCACAGUUUCCUGAUAAAAUAUGGCAUGGUUUUAUUUUGCUAUAAAAGUAUCCAUAUAAAUCCAGUAUUAUGGAUGGAAUGUAGGUUUUGCAAGCAAUUUUAUCAUUGCCUUUACCUUUUCUUUCAGCAAUAUUUUCUGAAGGCUUAUUUGGAAAGCUGGGUCUCAGGAGUGUUACAGGUCAUAGCUGGUACUUUAACAGUAGCAGGCCUGGUGAACUGAGAAUCAUGAGCAGAGCUUCAGAAAGUAUGCAGUAUCAGGGUUCCAAAUCAGUAAAAGAGCUGGACUCCAGUAAGCAGAUAUUAAGAAUUAGGUUAUGUUAAUGGAAUCUGUGUCUGGCCAACUGACACUUUCUGAAUCGUCAACUGUGUGAUAUGUCCUGGGAUUAAACAUAAUCUUGGUGCAUGUUGAGAAGGAGUACCAGCUCUUGGUUCAAUAUGUGUAAAGCUCUCAAGACUCAGCAAGGGAAAGAUAGCCCAGAAAUGUACACUUAAAUGUUCAUGCUUCUGCAAAGAAUCUCAGACCCUUUUAUAAACAUCUAAAUGAACAACCUCUUUGCCCUAACUCAGGCAGCAUCUCCCUUAUCAUUAGUAAGGGAUGGCCCUAACCUGCAACAAGUCUCCUGUAAUAUUCUCACAGCUAGUUGUUUUCAGUUACUUCAACUUUUUUCCAAAGCCAAGCUGCAGAAUGUCAGAGCCUGAGACAACUGGAGCAAUCCUCUUCAUUCCCUGCAUUAUUUUACAGAUGAGGGAACAGAGGCUUAGAGAGGAAGAACCUGUCCAGGAUGGUGCAGCCAAUGGCAGCCUCAGGAAGAGGAUCCUGACUAGUUCUCUGAAAGGUGGCCAAUCAUUAUUAGUAAUUAAACAGAGGGACAUUUUUCUCCGUGAAUUGAUUUGCGUGUGACCUACUACCAUUAUUUGCAGAUCCUACUGAAUCAGUAAGUCCAAGGAAUAGCUAACCAGGAAUUUGAGCUAGCAGGGACAAUCCAAAAUGCAACUCCAGGACAGACCUGCUGCUGUGGCUGGAGCUCUGAAGCCAGCACUGUAACUGACAUGGCAGUCUGACUUGUCACCCCUAAAGGAAGGCUUUCUAAAGAGUGGCUACCUGGGAAUUGUCAUGCUUGUCAUCAAAACAGAGGGUAAAGCAUUUUGUUAGGCAAACCCAGCCUGUUUAUAGUAUUCCACAGUGUAUAUAAAAGUCAGUGGCUGGUUACUAGCUUGUGGCAAAUAGUUAUAGGAAAAUGCUAUCUAGAUGGUUGGCAUAAAGUCUAAAUGAUAUUUCCACAUCUAAAUGUACUCUCAAGGGUAAUAACAUGUUGCUUGUGAUCACUGCAGAGCUGUUAGCACUGCCAAGUUUGGAUUUUUAAAACCAUUCCUGUCAUGAGCUUUUUGACUCUUGAGUGCUAAGCAAGCUGGGGAUUUUGGGGUUUUUUUACUAGCUGAUCUGUUGAAGAAAUUGGAACUGGGGUGCAAGUGAAGGUGUAAGGUAAGAAAAUAAUUGUGAUUUACAUUUUAUUUUAUUUAGAAGUUGAGCAAAUAUUUAUAAGGAGAGAAGUUGUCUGAUAUAGUUGUUAUUGAAAGUAACUUUUAAAAGACAAAGGCCUGAUUCUUAAAUGCUUCUUGCCUGUGUUUCCUUAAUGUCGCCUUUGUUUUCUACACAUCCAUGAGCACAGUCUGUUUUCUUGCUAGCCUUCCUUUCUUUUUCUUUAGUCCUUCCAAAUUUCCUUUCACAACCUCUAGCUUGGAAUAUAGGGUAGAGCCAAAUGCUGUGUACUCUCAGCCACGAGGCACUAUAGCAUUGGUUCUGCUGCCUGGGUGGGUUUUCUCCUGUCCUGGACAACCCAACUCUGUUGCUAAGGGAGACACGAGGCAUAGGGUACAGUUGUGGGGGAUGUUUCCCGAGUCCUUUCCUGGGAAUGAUUGUGUGGUCAACUGAGACCAUCAGCAGCAGCAGUGGCAUGUCACAUGGUCCAGUGGUUGGAAAGAGCCCUGUACUCAGGGUAAGGUUAGCUAGGUUCUGGUCCACGUUUCUGUGUAGUCCUGGGCAGAUCACUCAAUUUCUUGAGAAUCUUUUUCCUCAUCUAUUAAGUGACAGUGUUGGACGAUGUAAGCUCUAAUUCCUUUCCAUUUCCAAUGUUCAUGAUUCAGGAGACUCUAUUUGAUCCAAGGCAUAUCCAAUUCUAUUUAAUAAAAGUCGUGUUAUGACGGGAUUCCUCUCUACAUUCUCAAAAGAAAAUAAAAAUAGAUAUUUAUUUUGGAGUUAUAGUAAUUGAAUAUGACCGCUUUUGGUGAAAUUCCAGAAUCAGGGAGCUUACUAAGCAUUAAUGGAGGAGCAUAAUGAGCCGAGGUCUCAGUCUGAUUUUUCAUUUUAAAUUGAAUAUCAUUGAUUCAUCUCCCACUUAUGUACCCUGAAAAUAUCAGUCAUCAACAGAGCACAGUCAGAAUUCCAUGUGAAUCUGUUAUUCUCAUGGCAGGUAGAGUUGCACAAGUCUCUAGUGGAGAGAAUCUCAUGGAAGUUAGUGGGACCCCUGUCUCAAAUGUCUCCUUAGUUAUUGUAAGGAGCUGUAAUCACUCCAGCUCUCUGUAUUUUAUUGAGUAUGUUCUCAUAGAUGAAAAUUGUUGGACAAAACAGCCAAACUUGUGGUUGAAUACUACUGAUUGGAGAGGAAAAAAAGGACUAAAUAAGAGCUCUCCUUUAUAAAAUGUUGAAAAAAAAUCACCCUGGGUGCAGCAGUUCACGCCUGUAAUCGCAGGGCUCUGGGAGGCUGAAGCAUGAGGACUGCUUGAACCAAGUAGUUUAAGGUUGUAGUGAGCUAUGAUUGCACUACUGCACUCCAGUCGGGGUGACAGAGUGAGACCCCAACUUAAAAAAAUUCAGUGCCAUCUAGGAAUCUGGUUCAUACAAUCAUCUAGACCAAAGGAUCUCAGCUUAAUAUAAGGAUCCACUGGUGAGUCUCCAUUUGUUUGGGAUGUGUUGCAAAUAAUGUGUUAAGAGAUAUUAGGUAUAAUAGAUAAAGUAAUCUAGUUGCAAAAUUUCAUAUGAAAACAAUUAGAGCAGAUUCAAGGUAGGUGAGAGGGAAAGGGGGUUUAAUUACAACCGGUGUACAGGGAACUAUGUAUUACUCUGGGGGUUUCCAUGAGACUGAGUCUUACAUAUGAACUCAUCUUGCCUGGCAGGAAAAAAAAAGUUGAAAACUACUGAACUAAAAGAUCACUUGUGAAACAGUCUCAUACCAACCUAGACUGAGCCAUCACUAGGGGCUCAGCGAGCACUAAAAUUGAUAGAUAUAUCAUUAUAUGUCACUGCGGUGAUCACAGACACACACGUUCAACUUUUCUUUAUAAGAUGUACACAUUCACUAUAAAGAAAUAUUUAGAUACUUGGAAUAUUUAGAUAUAAAAAGUAAAUCAUAACCCCAGAUACAAUCAUAGUAACCUAUCUCUAAGAGUUAAUCUGAUAAUUAAGUGAGUGAAUGUAACUGUCAAACAUCACAGCUGUGCCUGGCUCAGAGCCAGCAAGCACAUCUCAGUGUGAACUGGGAUCAUAAUCAUGUAUUUGGGCAAACAUCCCUUUUGAUUUCCCCUACAGCUGCUCCUCCUCCAGUGUUUCCUAACUCAGUAAGUGGCACUCUCGUGUUUUAAAGUUUCUCAGGCUGAAACGUCACUCCUUUCCGUGUCUCUCACUGUGUAUCCAGUACAUUAGAUAAUCCUAUUGAUUUUACCUUUAAUAUAUAUCCAUGCCUCAUACAAAGAGUAACAAUUAAUUGAAACAGUGUCUUAUUAAUGAAACUUUGGAUUGAUUUCAAAUUUUUCCCAUCAUAAAAACUGCUGGCAUAGGCAUUUUUAGGAACACUCCUAAUUAUCACGGGAUAAGUUGUUGGAAGCGAAGUGUGACCUCAGAUAUAAUUAUUUGCAGACUUUUACUACACUACAGACUCCCAGAUUAUCUUUUAGGGUAGUUGUGCCAAAUUUGACGCCACCAUCAAAAUAGAGGCAACCUUUAUUAUAAAGCUUGUGUUUGCAUAGAAAGAUUCCAGUGGCAGGGUUUUAUUCAUUGAGCUUGAAUUGCACCAGAAAAGGUCAAAUGUACUUAGCAGCAUUUCAGAUGUUUUGAGGGUGGUAAAUAUGAGGAAUAUGAUGGAAAUCAUUUUGAUUUGAAGCAUUAAUCUGCUUUGGGACUGUUGACUUGCAGAACAGUGAAAGGACUGACGAUCCUUCUUGCCAGGCAAGCAAGAAACCACUCUUCUCCCAACUGCAAAAAGCCUGUAAGACAAAUUGUUUCUAAAGCCGACAAUUCUGCCCUAACACAGGAUGGCUACGUCACCUCAAGUUGGAGUAGGGAGGAAAGAGGAGGAUGGAGGAAAGAGAAAUCUUCUAGGAAAUACUUCAUGGUUUCAAGAAGUCUUGAGCAAAGGUUGCCAGAGAACAUUCCUAAAGAUGUGUACAGGCAGUUCAGUCUUGCUUGCAUGACUUUCUCUGAGAUAUACCAGCCUCCAUGACCCAAUUGUUUCCCUUGUAAUGUUGGUUAAAAUCAGAGAUUCUCAUGCCAAGUCUGAAUGAGUUAAAUAAAGAUGCAUUUUUGUG